AGGCUGUCUGUUUGGGCCUUGGUGUCUUCACUGCAUCAAGAGAAGACCUGUACCAGGGAAAGAAGAGAGAAGCGAAGAACCCACUUGUGCGGCUUAAUGCAUUUUUCAAGGAGCUCUGAUACUAUAAUGGGGAGGAUUGUAUGGGAGAGAGUCACUAGAAGACACAGAUCCAAAGCCUGUUAAAGUUGGUGGGCAGCAGAUGAUGAUGGCGCUUUCUCUUCUGCCAAGCUCUCUCUUCCUCAUCGCCUUAUGGAUCUCGUCUGGUGUGGUGGGUUGACCCUGGCUGGAUGCCUUGCAGGGACAUCACCAUCCUACUGGGUCCUACAAUCAACAGUGUUGGCAGCUGAAACUAGAAUGAGAUUUUGGGUAUGUUUGGGUUCCCUUGCCACUAUCAAGAAUUACCCUGAAGAGUACUUAAAUAUCUCUCUUAAUAAUUGCACUAAGUUGCCUGCUACCAAUAUUCCUAGCAGUUCCUCUGCCAACAGAAGUGCUAAGUAUCCUGAUUUUAUCGUGCAUACCUAUGGAUUACAAAUAGAUCUUAUUAACUGCUCAGAACUGACAUAUCUAUUUGAAUAAAGGGGCUCGUUUCUUUGCAGGCAGUAGAACAAUCUUUCUGUUAUGCUAAUAAAUAUAGGCAUUUGCAUAAAUGUAAUCAGAUGUUGGGUCUUACUGAGUAUGUAGUCCAGCAUUAUAUGUUUCGCUCUUGGGUGCUUGAAAGACCUGCUCCUGCAGUGAGGCUGCAAGGGCAUUCUAGAAAAUAGUUACCAAAUGUUUGAACUGGACAGGGACUGGAAAAGAAAGAGGUGAGCGACUGUCCUUCCAGAAAUCAAUCUCAGCUUCGACAGGGGAAUGUAUUACAGAGACA